rfam:Daphnia pulex DAPPTscaffold_56_Cont2997, whole genome shotgun sequence.
AUUGGUGAAAUCCUUAACAGGCCAGUGGGAGUAUGGGGGAAAAUCGUGGGCUCACUUUGCGCAAUUGCUGGUGUGCUUACCAUAGCCCUUCCCGUACCUGUGAUUGUCUCAAAC